UACGUAGGUGGCAAGCGUUGUCCGGAAUUAUUGGGCGUAAAGCGCGCGUAGGUGGCCUCAUAAGUCCGCUGUGAAAGUCAAAGGCUCAACCUUUGAAAGCCGGUGGAUACUGUGAGGCUAGAGUACGGAAGAGGCGAGUGGAAUUCCUGGUGUAGCGGUGGAAUGCGCAGAUAUCAGGAGGAACACCAAUAGCGAAGGCAGCUCGCUGGGACGUUACUGACACUGAGGCGCGAAAGCGUGGGGAGCGAACAGG
rnacentral:rRNA from 1 species